rnacentral:miRNA from 1 species
CACUGGCCCUCUACGUCUUGGA